UUUUUGUUUGUUGACUUGCUGUCGAAGAAUUAGAAAAGUACCUGUUAAAAAUGGGACGAUUGCUAUCUAGCACUUUCAACUUUUGCAACUUGAUUAGGACGACUUGCACAUAUGGAGAGGCCCUAAGCAGAAUUUGCCCCGCAGCAGCCAUCUUUACGACCACAGUUUCUACGGUGCGUGACCGGGAUGGUCUGUUCGUGAAUGCAAGAGGAAUGUGAUAGUAGCCAAAAAUGGGUAGAAGUAAUAGGUCAUUGGGUGAAGGUCUUACUAGUGGCACCAUCCACGACGUAGACUUAUAGGUUCUUUGUGGUUCACCAUUUCCCUCCCUAAGGUUAAAAUGCAAAACAAGGCCUUUAGUGCCUUACCAUCAAAAGCAUCUUUUGAAAAUGAUUCAACAAUCCAUCGGAGUCAUGGCUUAAGACAGACACAA